UACGGAGGGUGCAAGCGUUAUCCGGAUUUACUGGGUUUAAAGGGUGCGUAGGUGGACUGGUAAGUCCGUGGUGAAAUCCCCGAGCUUAACUCGGGAACUGCCGUGGAUACUAUUAGUCUUGAAUUUUCUGGAGGUUAGCGGAAUAUGUCAUGUAGCGGUGAAAUGCUUAGAUAUGACAUAGAACACCAAUUGCGAAGGCAGCUGGCUACAGAAACAUUGACACUGAGGCACGAAAGCGUGGGGAGCAAACAGG
rnacentral:rRNA from 1 species